CUUCGGUGAAGUCUGCUGUCAAGUUACUGGACACGUGGUAUUUGCACAACACUUCUGAAUCCGCAGCUUCGGUGUUUUAAGGCUGUUUCGGUAAUGUCGUUAUUUAAUAAGUUACAUUAUUUGCAUUGUUAACUGCACAUAUUGAAGCUCAGAAGAAAAUGUUUACUUACAUUCGUAGAUAUGGAGAAGAAGUGGGAAGAGAUUUACGCGUUUAUUUCUGUGGGCUCCUACCCUUCAGGAUAUGACAAGGCUCAGAGGCAAAACCUCAGAAGAUAUGCCUCAAAAUUCCAACAAAAGGAUGGAGAACUCUUUGUUGGAACCAGAAAAGUAGUAAAAACCAUGGAUGAUGCCAGGAAGAUAUUUCAUGAGUUUCAUUCAUCUCCAAUUGGAGGACACACUGGCACACACAAAACGCUAAAUGCAGUGUGUUCCAGAUUUUACUGGUUUGGUAUGACAGUUGACAUUAAAACAUGGGUAUGUAUUAACUGUUUGCAUUGUUGUUAAAUGCCGUUUAGAAUAAGAAUUUUUUUUUUAAUAUCAGUUAAAAGAGAAACUGUACACUUGCAAAAUAUAAAUAAAUAUGGUUAAUUAGUGAUAUUACAGUAAUAACCUGUAGGCCUGGCAGAGAUUUGAAGACACACACAAAGUUUUGUUGCUAAAUUGUUUGUUCGUUAGAGAAUAUAUCAAUGAUUUUUUUUUUUUUUUUUUUUUUAUAAAUGAGAAUGUUGAACAUUUACGUGAAUUCCAUAAAUAUUUUUACCUUAAAGAUUCUGGAAUGUGACCAGUGUCAAAAAGUUGGGAAACCACUGACUGCUGUGCAACCGUUGCAGUGUAUUCAGGUAAAUAUUAUGCCCCUUUUACCCAUCAAACUAUGCUUCUAGCUCAUAUUCAUGAAGGCAGGAGGGUUUGCCAACUAAUUUUAACCAUCGAUGUUAAUGUGUACAUUAUACAAAUUGUUAUUCAAAUUAUUAAUUUGUCCUUGAUAGGUGUCUGAAGUGUGGGAACUUAUUGGUAUAGAUCUUACUGGACCUCUUCCUAAAACGUCAAGCGGCUUUCCAGUAUAUACUGACUGCAACUGACUACUUUUCAAAAUGGGUUGAAGCUUUCCCAUUAAAAACGAAAUCUGCAUCUGAGGUAGCCCAGCACUUGUGCUCCAUUAUAUAUAUAGACAUGGCUGCCCCAAAAGGAUUUUGUCAGACCAAGGCAGAGAGUUUGUGAAUGAAGUAAGUGUUAAAUAAUUUUCAGUUACAUUUUUUAACUUUACUUCACUGGGGUCAAAGAUUUUUUCUUGUGUGCUUGUAUAAGAAGUAUAAGAACCUUGUCCUUAUCUGUUGAAGCUCAACUCUGAUCUUUGCAAGUUAUUGCAAAUUGAAAGAAGUGUCACAGCAGCAUACCAUCCACAGACCAAUGGUCUAGAUGAAAAGACCAAUGACAACAUAAAAAGGUAUGCCUAAUUUUUAUCUAUCAGUUUUUAAUAACAUUACUUAUGUUAUUCAAACUUAAUUGUUACUUAAUAAUUUAUUAUUUCUUUACUUCUAAUUAAACUUUCAUUACUGUCUUUACAU
ensembl:lncRNA